rnacentral:lncRNA from 1 species
CAUUUACAGGCCUGAGAGUCAAUUCCCCCAGUGGCCCCUGUAUGGGAUGGCCUGUGCUCCAGAGCCUGUUGCCCGGUGACCGGCAGAGGGCAGGAGAGACACACAGAUGCCAAACUGCGCAGCCGACUAGCUGAGCUUCCCCACUGGGGAAACUGGGUCACUCAGUCCUGCCAAGCGGGAAACAGUCCAAGGAGGGCACCCUUCCCCGGGGAUAACAGUGAAAGCAGAGGCCUUUUGAGCAAAGCCAUGAGGAGGGGAUGCCCACUGUGCGGUUGGGUACAGUCUAACCAGAUACUUGGGCUUGGGACCUGAUGUCCUUUGAGUUCCCCCUGGAUCUUGAUGCCUCCACUUCCACUCAACAACUCCACUCCAGGACUUCCUGGUGACUUGUGCAGAGGGAAAAUCAUGGCCUUGCAGAGCAGGCAGAGCCCACUGGAGUCCUGGUGGAGGCCUCUCAGUAGCCAGAUGACCUUGAGCGAAUUUUAGAACCCUCUAAGCUUGGGAUCUCUCAUCUGUUAAGAUGAUGACAAGCAACCAUGCCAAAUAAAACUUGUAGCUUGGUUCUGAGAAUUGAAUGAGUUAAUUCACGUGAAGCCACCUAAGUCUACGAAGACACUCGAUAAAUUCUGUUCUUCAUGGGGUAGCAGUGGGGGGACUUUGUGGCAAGAAGAAAAAUUGUGGGAAUGAUAAUCAUUGAAUACUUAAAACAUAUGAGUUACUAUGCUCAAUUCUUUAUUUGUACUAUAUUAUCUCAAUUAAGCCUUCUGACACUCCUAUGAGGCAGGUAGUAUGUAUCUCCCCAUUUUUCAGAUAAAGAAACUGAGGCUUCAAGAUGUUAGGUUACUUGCCUAAGGCCAAAAUGAUCGAGAAUCUGACCCAGAGCCCAAGAGCUAAACAUCUAAGAGGCUCUGCAACAAUUCCCACUUUCCCGCCGUGCCUGGAGGAUCCUUCCUGGAAAUAUGCUUUCAUUCUGUCUUUAGGUUUUUGUUUAGAUAAGCAAGGCCCUCCUGAAGGGGCCUUCUUGUCCCUCACACUAAUAGUUAUUCCUUCUCCUAAGUGUUCAGAACACUGUGGCUAUGUUUAUCCCUUACACUUUCCACGUAUUAUUUGCAUUUACACAUCUGUCUCUGGUUCCAGGCAGAUGCUCUCUGAGGGCAUGGACAGAAUGUGGUGUAAUUUCUCUUUAUUUCCUCUCUAAGUAACUGUCACUCCUAUUGCUUUGCAUGCUGUGGGCUUUUGAUAAAUGUUUGUUGACUUGAGAUGUGUCAGGCAGAGUGAGUAGAAAGCAUGACAGACCUGGGUCAGAAUCCGUACUUCCACUGACUCUGUGACCUUGGGCAAGUCACUCAACCUCUCUGGGCCUCCUUCAGUUUCCUCAACUCUAAAGUGAGACAAUAGUAUCUACCAUCAUGGGGUGUUGUGAGGAUGAAAAGAAAAAAUGCAGGCAAAGCAUUUACACAGUAC